rnacentral:lncRNA from 1 species
GUGUAGUUUCGCAUUUUGGCCCCUGUGGAUUUUUAAAAUAUGAGAGCUAGUGUGAAAUAAAAUUCAUUUUUGGAUAGCUGAGUACUAAAAUAGCCUUCGUAUUGGGUUCAUAUGAACAUCAAGAUUAUGUAAUGCAUGUAAUAUAGGCUGUUUUCUGUAUGACAGUCCGUAUUUGCAUGCCCAUACCAUACAUUGGUCCGGCAACUAUUGUAAUGUUUUUUUCCAACUUUUUGUGGCACGAAGUUUGUGAUUAGAUUUUACGAAAAAAUGAGGCGAAAGACACCCAUUUUUUAUUUGAUCAUUAGGAAGAUCUAUGCAAACAGUUUCUAAAAGGGUAUCACUCAAAGGCAUUGAAAUUCUAGUUUGAUCCAAAUUUUGGGGGGAUAUGUGACAUGUUUACCCCCCCUUUUUGCAAUAUUUUAUUGUAAAUAAAUGCAGAAUGUUGCCAUGGAUACACAUAAAAGGAAUUAUUUUUCACCCUUUUAACUUUGAAAAAUCAAUUCUAUGGAAGAUACUGAUUACAUACAUAUGCACAUGUACAACACAAACAGUAAGGUUAAUGUAUUAGAAAUCCAGG